rnacentral:misc_RNA from 1 species
GGAAGUAAAAGUCGUAACUAGGUUUCCGUAGGUGAACCUGCGGAAGGAUCAUUAUUGUAUAACCGAGGUGCGAGGGCUGUCGCUGACCCGAAAGGUCGUGCACGCCCGAGUGCCCUCACACACAUCCAUCUCACCCCUAUGUGCACCACCGCGUGGGUCCCCCUUUGGCUUGUUCGGAGGGGGGCUUACGUUUUCACACAAACUUUGUAUGCAGUGUAGAAUGUAUUUUUUGUUUUUGCGAUCACGCAAUCAAUACAACUUUCAACAACGGAUCUCUUGGCUCUC